UACAGAGGGUGCAAGCGUUGUUCGGAAUUAUUGGGCGUAAAGCGCUGGUAGGUGGCUUGUUAAGUCGCGUGUGAAAGCUCCAGGCUCAACCUGGAAAGUGCGCGCGAAACUGGCGAGCUUGAGUGCCGGAGAGGGUCGCGGAAUUCCCAGUGUAGAGGUGAAAUUCGUAGAUAUUGGGAGGAACACCAGAGGCGAAGGCGGCGACCUGGAAGGUAACUGACACUGAGCAGCGAAAGCGUGGGGAGCGAACAGG
rnacentral:rRNA from 1 species